rnacentral:lncRNA from 1 species
ACUGGAUCUCAGGCUCCCUGAAUGGAUCUGGUCAGUGAAGUGAGUGAGGGAAGGCUUCACACACUGGCUCUGGGACCCCACUCUUUCCCCAUCCACCUUUGAUCACUCUCUUCUAGAAAGUCCUUGGCUUGGCAAUUGGUUGAUCCCAAGUCUUGGGUCAGAGGGAUGGAUGUGGUAGGUUCUGAAAUGGGGAGAGUCUUUUCAAAACUAUGGGGCCAGAAGCAUUAUGGUACCCACUGACCUGGCCUCGCUCUGUCUGAUGUCCCUUCCCGCCUCCCUCCUGCCCUUCCCUAGCCUCCCAAGCCUCUCUAAUCACAACCACCGGACUCGCUCUGUAUCACCUAAAGUCAUUCCAGGUGCCUCCAGGGACACAGGACCCCACCCCGCCCCCAUUAAGAAUCAUGUCCCCUUGGGGUACCUGGAUGGCUCAGUUGGUUGAGCGUCCAACUUUGGCUCAGGUCGUGAUCUUGCGGUUUGUGAGUUUGAGCCCCGCGUCGGGCUCUGUGCUGACAGCUCAGAGCCUGGAGCCUGCUUCAGAUUCUGUCUCCCUCUCUCUCUGCCUCUCCCCAGCUCACACUUGGCCUCUCUCUGUCUCUCAACUAAAUAAACAUUUUUAAAAAAUGUAAAAAGAAUCAUGCCUCCUUACGAUCUCUCAGUACGUCUCUCUCUAAGGCCUCAAUAAACUGUUUUCCCAAGUCAGACUCAGAGCAUUCUUGGACCAAAUGGCAUGAUCCUCGUCUGAACAAAAACUUCUUCUUUCUUACAUGACUGCCCCAAAAUAUUUGUGCCCCAUUAGGAUUGGAGAAAGAUCUCCUCCAGACAGCCAUCCCAGGGAGCCUGGAGGAACCCUGGUAAAUGUAGCUUUUGCUCACCAGCCCACGUUGCUGUAAGGGCCUCGCUGGAAGAAAUCGUGGCAGGAGUCUCUCCCCGUGGACUAGUCUCUAUAUGGCUCCCCACUCUGCUUUGCUUAUUAUGGAGCCUGCUUCUGCUUCUCCCCAUCUGUGUCCUGAAGGAGUCCCAGCCUGCACGACCCCCCAGUUUGCCGCCCACUGAUUGCUUUCUUGUUUGACCCUUGAUCUUGUAGAUGAGCACAUGCUGAGUCCCCACUCCACGGAGCCCGCAUGAACCUCUGGACCUCUGACCGACCUGCCCACUUCUUUCCUAAAUUUUGACUUCUGAAAAGAUCAACACAGCUAAACCACUUCAACCUGGCAGGGAGAGGCCCCUGCCUUGGCAUAACCCUACCCACUGGAGCCCUGACUUAGCAGAAGUUCUCAUCAUGGGAGAUCCAGGAAAGUCUCUGAAAGAAGAUGCCGAGGUUCCCAGGAACACCUUUCCUGAGUCUGUGCUAUGACUAGGGCAUCUUUGUUUUAUGCACCUACGUGAAGCAGACAUUUUUGGCAAUGCCUUUAUUCUACAGAACGCCAGCUAGGUCUGGGGCUAAGAAAAGCACCAUGUUUAUAUGCCCACUAAUUUUCUCAAUCAUGAGCAAAUUAUUUGCUCCUCGCCCCGUGAAAAAAUGAACUUUCUCUUUUGAGAGUUUGGAGAAAAUAAAAAAGCGAAAUUAACCAGUCAAAGAGAGCUUGGACAAUAAAGUGAACAAAGACAUUUGCUUUCCAAAAGCGUGUUUAAAUAUUUUAUCUAGAAAAAUCUUCCCAAAGUUAUAAAUAGCGCCUAGCUAUGAGUUCCAGCAUCAACCUCGGAGAAGUGCUUCCAGCUUUAUGACUGAGUUUGUGUGCCUGUGGCCAAAUGGAUUUGGAAUGGAAACUUUUUUUUUUUUUGUCAUCUGGCUUAUUGUUGUUUCCUUCUGUGGCCACAGUGUUUGUCUGGGCCAUGGGAUUACUCGAUCAAUCAAAUAUUUAUUGAGUAACCAGACGACCAAUGGAAAAACUAGGCUUGGAUCAUAUUGUACAGAUCAUACUAUGUGUCUUAAAGUCUUAAGGCAGUUGUGCUCACUAAUGGUCAUCUCUUUUUUUGGGAGCUUAGAAAAGGAUCCAUUUGGAAAAAGAGAAGUCUCCAUGCAGAAGCAAAUACCUUCCUCUGACUUUUGGCAAACAAAAUAUUCGCAAAUUCCGUCGCCCUGUUCUAAUAUCUAUUUAUAAAUGUUUCUCUCCAUUCUAGAGGUUUUCUCUGUAAUAUGUGCACCAUGCCAAUGACAUCCUUUAAAGCUGGAAGUUUUCAGAAUUAAAUUCUGGUUUCCUUAAUUUACUAUAGGAAUACGUCCCUAGAGACUGUAAGUCCAACAUAAAUGAUGUGUGUGUCGGAAGGCGAGUAUAUACACCCUUAUGUUUUUUGCUAAAUGGGUGUAGAGUCACGAGUGCUAUUUAUCAAUAUUUCCGCGUCUCCUCUUUUUGGGGAUGUGGAAAGAUGUCAGUCGUCUGCCCACUUGAAGUUAGGGUGGUAGGCCAGCUGACUGCUUCGGCCAGUGAAAUGUGAGCAAAACUGAGAGGUGCCCCUUUUGGGUAGGUGGUCAACUUCUCAUGUUCCCUUCCAUCUUCCAUGAUCAUUGGUAAUGUUCUAGCCGGUAGAGAUUUGAUCAGCAUGCAUCCAGAGGAGAGAAUAAAAUAAAGAAGGGUCCCCCAGUGACCUGAAAUGGACAUGUAGCAAGAGAGGGAAAUAAUGUAUUCUAGGCCAUUGAAAUAUCAGGGUUGUUUUUCCUCUAGCAUAGCUUUGCAUAUGCUGAAUAAUACAAAAAUCGGUCUAUAGAAGUGGGCCACUGCUAUAGCAAAGACCUAAAACAAAUGACCUAAGGGCCAGGUAGGGGGUGGCAAGGACACUACGCCUGCAGUAAUUUGGGACGUACAUUUUACUCCUAAAGCAGGGGCCAGUGAAAACCCAACCCUGCAUCAGGGGACCCAUGAAGGGUAUGGCCAUCAUACUCCUUGUUAACACCCGUCGAUGAAUUAAGGUGUCUUUGAGCAAAGUUCCAUUAAUGGUGUGGGGUCCAAAAAAUCUUCUCACUUGCACAGAAAGGCUUGGGGAAAAGAGACGAAGUACAUACUCAGCUCUCUCAUUGAAGCCUGAUGGCCUCGGGGAGUUGAAAUUAAACUGAUAAACAGAGUCAUGGGAGCAAGAAAGCAAAGAAAUACAGUAAACACGAGAAUUCUGUCUCAAAAAGAACUGUGGCUAUUGCCAUGAGGAGCUGACGGGAAGACGAUACAUGAGAAGCUGUUUUUGACAAAAGAAGUAUUAAUCAGGGGUACCUGGGUGGCUCAGUCGGUUGAACGUCCAACUUCGGCUCAGGUCAUGAUCUCACAGUUUGUGGGCUCAAGCCCUGCAUCAGGCUCUGUGCUGACCACUUGCUCAGAGCCUGGAGCCUGCUUCAGAUUCCGUGUCUCCUCUCUCUGCCUCUCCCCCGCUCACGCUUUGUCUCACU